GCGGGUAUAGCUCAGUGGUAGAGCGCGCGCUUAGCAUCCACGAGGUCCUGGGUUCAGUCCUCAGUAUCUUUU
rnacentral:tRNA from 1 species